rnacentral:lncRNA from 1 species
UCAGUCAUCUGCUGUUGAUUUUCUCCUCAGGUUCUGUCAAGCUAGUUCGUUUUCUCGGGAUACAGGUUUCCUUUCUUCCCUUUAAAGGAAGUGAAUGCUUGGUGUUUGUCUAGUAUAUUAUGACUACAACAUAGGACGUGCCUCUUACCAGUUGGGGUGCAACAGAAAAUGUCUCCUUCUCUGUCUUCCUGCAAAGCGAGAGGAAGUUUUGGCAUUUAUAGUGUUUAAUAUAUUUCCUGUAAAUGUGUAGGAAAUGUCUGUUUGAAGUUCUGAAGUAAACUACCUUGAUGUUGACAAAGAUGAGACAAACUACCUGAUGAAAGAAAUCAUAUUCAAGAAAGAAUCUUUAGAGAGGAAGGCAGCCUAUUUAUUUACAUGAAGAUCAAAGAACCUUUGCAUGAAUUGAGACUACAUUUUUUCCGAGUGAUUUGCAAAAGAUAAUCCUCAUGGCUGAAUGAGAAAAGUGCCUAGAUGCCAGUGUGAAGAAGAGACAGAGCAGAGACACGAACAACAUGUAAAUUCUCCUUGCUGCCACCAUGUGACGAAGGACACGUUUGCUUCCCCUUCCACCAUGAUUGCAAGUUUUCUGAGGCCUCCCCAGCCAUGCUGAACUGUGAGUCACUUAAACCUCUUUCCUUUAUAAAUUACCCAGUCUCGGAUGUGUCUUCAUUAGCAGCUUGAGAACAGAUUGAUACAAAAAAAAAGAACUAGAAACUGAUGUUAUUAAUAUGCAAUGUAAUGGAGUCUUAAAACCAAGUAGGCCAGCAUUUAUAGUACAUUUUUACACGUAUGUCUAGAAUAGUUACCUUAAACACACAUGCACACAGAUGGAUAACAUCUGUAUUUGCAA